rnacentral:rRNA from 1 species
AACGAACGCUGGCGGCAGGCCUAACACAUGCAAGUCGAGCGCCCCGCAAGGGGAGCGGCGGACGGGUGAGUAACACGUGGGAAUUUUCCUCAAGGUACGGAACAACUUAGGGAAACCUGAGCUAAUACCGCAUAUGCCCUUCGGGUGAAAGUCUUCGGACGCCAGAGGAUCGGCCUGCGGCCCAUUAUUUAAUCCUUGUUGGUGGGGUAACGGCCUACCAAGGGUACGAUGGGUAGCUGGUCUGAGAGGAUGAUCAGCCACACUGGGACUGAGACACGGCCCAGACUCCUACGGGAGGCAGCAGUGGGGAAUAUUGGACAAUGGGGGAAACCCGUGAUCCAGCUACGCCGCGUGGGUGAUGAAGGCCUCGGUUGUAAGACCUCGUCGAGGGGACGGAAGUUAAGUGACGGUACCCCGUCCAAGAAAG